rnacentral:piRNA from 1 species
UCACAGGGAGCCAAAUGUGUUCUUCUGGGC